UUACACCAAUUCCAAUUACCAAGUGGCUUUCCAAACAGGCCCUAAGUUUGACUGUUGAACUCCGAAAAGAUUCAAUUGAAUUGAAACGGAGGGAGUAAUAGGCUUGAUUGAGGCCGCUGUCUCUGCAGCAUAAGUUUUCUGUUGGUUGCCACUUUUAGUUUUACGCUUAGGUUAAAGUCUAGCAAGUUGCUAGACACGGCAAUCGCGGGCGGCAUUAAGAUCUGGAAAAGGUUUAAUAGCCGCAGCAAAAACGGAAAGAGUCUCGGAAACUGGAGGUUUUCCUUUUGUGUUACGGCUGGCAGAAAAUAAGAGUAUCUAUGAUGAAAAGAUGAAGAUGGAAAGGUGGGAGAGAUCAAAUCGCAUGUGUAUGAUGACAUGAAGAAGGUCAUUCCAGAAAGUGAUCACAUAGCCGCUAUUCCAAAGGACAAAAGGAAAGACAAGAAGAGAAAGAAUAAGGAAGUUACGGAUAUGACAACACAGAAGAAACAACAUAAGGAACCAUCUACAUAUGGUUGUUUCUUUUGCGAAGCUGUAGGCCAUAAGAAGAAGCAGUGCUCUAACUAUCAUGCCUGGCGUGAAAACAAAGGUACGCUUCUUAAUUUUGUUUGUUCUGAGGUUAAUUUGACUUCGGUACCAAGACACACAUGGUGGAUAGAUUUUGGUGCAACAACUCACGUCAGUGGGUCUAUGCAAGGUUGUCUGAAUUGUCGAAAGUUUAAUAAUUGUGAAAGAUACAUUAACGUUGGUGAUGGCAAGUCGGUGAAAGUGGAAGCAAUUGGAACCCUUUAGAUUAUUGUUAAGAAUUGGUUUUUAUUUGGAUUUGAAAGAGACAUUUAUUGUACCAUAUUUUAGACAGAAUUUGAUUUCCAUUUCGACUUUGGACAAAUUUAGUUAUUGUUGUUCAUUUGGAAAUAUAAAGUUUAUUCUUUCUCAUAAUUCAAAAUUAGUUGGACCA